GGUUUUGGAUGAGUCCAACACCAUUUUGGUUUUGGGUAUGUCCAACACCAUUUUGGUUUUGGAUGUGUCGAACACCAUUUUGGUUUCGGAUCUGUCCAACACCAUUUUGGUUUUGGAUGUGUCCAACACCAUUUUGGUUUUGGAUGUGUCCAACACCAUUUUGGUUUUGGAUGUGUCCAACACCAUUUUUGGUUUUGGAUGUGUCCAACACCAUUUUGGUUUUGGAAACGUCUAACACC
rnacentral:miRNA from 1 species